rnacentral:lncRNA from 1 species
GUGGCAAUAAAAUUUCACUGAGUGUUUAUAAAGAGACUUCAGAAAUGCUGCACAAAGGUGAAGAUGGUACUGCUUUUCAGUGGGAGCAAUUGUUCUACUGACAACACAUGUUGCCAUAGCAUUUUAUUAUCAUUUUUCACCAGUCCCUUUGCCGUUGCUGGCAGUCAAGGAGGCAACACUGUGGCAGGGCAUUUGGGAGGUCCAGAAGAGUACAUUUGCUUCAAGCCUUCAGGGAACAAUAGAGCAGAGCCUUUGUGAAACACAGCUGCUUUCUGGUAGUCUUCCACUAUUUCUGUCGGGUUUUAAAGACAGGCUUGGAAUGGAAACCGGCGGCUGGAUGUUACUCCUACUACUGGCAAGUACUCUUCAACUUACAUAGCUAGCUGGUUGUGGAGGUCUUCUAGACGUGUGAAGACCAUCACUUGAGAGUGGAUGAGAGGAGACUAGCAAUAGACAUGGUUUGUAGAAUGAGAGGAAUGGAGGCAUAUCAACUUAUGUCAUUGCAUUUUUGACCUGACAGUUACAAGAAGAAAUGUAUGAGAGAGG